UUCAGUUUUCUUAUUAAUAAAAAAAUUGUGUUUCUAACAUAUUAAUUUGUAAUUUCUAGCAAAUGGAGAAACAGUGUAUACAAAUUUUGCAGCAAGCUAUUUCGGAGACGUAAAUCAGUCAGAUUGUUCUAGGCUGAAACAUUGUUUUAUUUAACAAAGCAUACAGGCGAAAACCGCUUUUAAAAUUUCGAUAUGUUGUCGUAGUGGUUUGAUAUAACAUGGGCUUAUAUGUGCAUUGCUAUCUACCAGUGAGAGGUUACAUCAGUUAGUGAAAGUUAUCCUACUCAUCAACUGAAAUAUGGAAUUCUCACUGAAUCUUCAAAUCCGAGUGUCCGCAAAAAGAACAUGGAGGUCCGUUUGGUACCCCUCCAAAUGACAAAGCAGCAGAGGCUCAGCCGUGGUGUUAGGGUCACAGCCGAAGAAGAGCGAACGCUGCUAACUCCGUCCGUACCGACUUUAAGCACAUGAAUCAUCUAGCCGCUGCAAUCAAAAAUAUUUUAAAAAUAUUAUUUAGAAAUUUUUGUUUUCAUGGUAACGCUCUAUAAUCGUUUGUUAUGAAAUAAACUCAUAUGUUGGGUUUUAAUAGUAAAA